rnacentral:rRNA from 1 species
ACUCCUACGGGAGGCAGCAGUAGGGAAUCUUCCACAAUGGGCGCAAGCCUGAUGGAGCAACACCGCGUGAGUGAAGAAGGGUUUCGGCUCGUAAAGCUCUGUUGUUAAAGAAGAACACGUAUGAGAGUAACUGUUCAUACGUUGACGGUAUUUAACCAGAAAGUCACGGCUAACUACGUGCCAGCAGCCGCGGUAAUACGUAGGUGGCAAGCGUUAUCCGGAUUUAUUGGGCGUAAAGAGAGUGCAGGCGGUUUUCUAAGUCUGAUGUGAAAGCCUUCGGCUUAACCGGAGAAGUGCAUCGGAAACUGGAUAACUUGAGUGCAGAAGAGGGUAGUGGAACUCCACGUGUAGCGGUGGAAUGCGUAGAUAUAUGGAAGAACACCAGUGGCGAAGGCGGCUACCUGGUCUGCAACUGACGCUGAGACUCGAAAGCAUGGGUAGCGAACAGGAUUAGAUACCCUGGUAGGAUAGCG